rnacentral:lncRNA from 1 species
UGCUACUUCGCCGACAUGGAUCGGGUAGUUACAACUUCCAGCGCCGUCGGCCCCCCCAAAUUCGACCCCUAUUAUCUCCAUUUCCACCAUCAAUCUCCUCUUUUCUUGAAUUUCUUUCUCCAAUCGCGAAAUAAGACUCGUAGGCUUCACAGAAUUUUCUGCCAAAGCAACCCCAAUUCAAUUGACACAAGUACAACAGAGGUAUGCUAGUUUAUUCCCCCAAUUGAUUAUCACUUUCUUCAAUGUAAUAUCGUAAUUUGUUGUCAAAAGUGUAAUUAAGUUUUUUUCCCUUUGUAUCAAUUGAAUAUUCGACCUAUUGCCAUAAUUUCAUUUUUUGUGCAAUGAGUGGUGACUGUUUUUGAUAUAUUGGGUUGGUUGUUUCUAUGCCCAAUAGUGGUGAAUGGUGGUGGUUGUAGGAGGCGAUGGCAGCGACAAAUGGUGUGACGGUGGUCAGUAAUGGCUAUGGUCACAUGAGGAAGAGAAGAUGGAGAUGCCAAUGGGCGGGCAAGUAAGGUAGAGUUACUCAAACAGGGGUCUCUCACCUUUGACAGGCUCUUGUGACAAAGGCUACACCUCAGCCCUAUCACAUGGGCCUGUCAAAGGCCCUUGUUUGUAUAGCUCGAUUGAUAUAUGUAGCCUCUGUUUGUUGGGAUAAAAAUGAAAUUUUAAGUAGAUUUUGAUAAAAGUUAUUGAAAUGUAUGAUUAAAAAGUUGUGUCACAUUAAAUGUGUAGUUAAAAUUAGUUGUUAACUUUGAUUUAGG